UCGAGCGGGAAGAAAAUGUGUGGUGGCUAAUAUCCAUCAUGCUUGACGGUACCGCUAAAGGAAGCACCGGCUAACUCCGUGC
rnacentral:rRNA from 1 species